rnacentral:rRNA from 1 species
AGCGAACGCUGGCGGCAGGCUUAACACAUGCAAGUCGAACGCCCCGCAAGGGGAGUGGCAGACGGGUGAGUAACACGUGGGAACGUACCCUUUGGUUCGGAAUAACUUGGGGAAACUCAAGCUAAUACCGGAUAAGCCCUUAUGGGGAAAGGUUUACUGCCGAAGGAUCGGCCCGCGUCUGAUUAGCUAGUUGGUGAGGUAAUGGCUCACCAAGGCGACGAUCAGUAGCUGGUCUGAGAGGAUGAUCAGCCACACUGGGACUGAGACACGGCCCAGACUCCUACGGGAGGCGGCAGUGGGGAAUAUUGGACAAUGGGGGCAACCUUGAUCCAGCCAUGCCGCGUGAGUGAUGAAGGCCUUAGGGUUGUAAAGCUCUUUUACCCGGGACGAUAAUGACUGUACCGGGAGAGUAAGCCCCGGCUAACUUCGUGCCAGCCGCCGCGGUAA